AAAAAAAAGAGAACAAUCUCUCAAUCUCUCUUCGUGUCAAAUUUCAAAGGAUCCAAAACAUCAUCCUUCUCUCCGUGUCUUCAUAAUCAAAAGCCAAAACAAAUUUCACACCAGAUUUGCCAAUUGUGAUUUCAGUUUAAUUGCCCCAAAUUGAGAUGAGAUUAGAGAAACCCAAAGAUAACCCCAAUUUCCUUCUCACUCUCGCGUCCCUCGUAUCUCACUCGACUUUCAUUCCCUUCAGGUCUGCUUUGUGGAGGUCGGGCUUGAUGAUGCGGCUCUCCGUCGACAGUACUUUCGGUGGCGUUUUGCCGCCCUCCCGGCGCCACUGACGCUGCAAGUUGCGCGCGUUGCCGCAUUCGUUCAGUCUCUCAGUUUUGUCUAUAGUCUGCUUCAGUGCUUCGUGGUUGUUGCUGCCAGCCUGCCACAAGCUUAUGUUCAUGUUGUCACAGCUUCAUCUGAGUUGUUGUGCGUAUUGAUGUUGUCGGUGUCGUGCUGGCAUUCUGGUGGAGCUGUUCGCCACCGCUACCAUUCCUCCUUGUUCGCUGUCGCUGCUGCAACUCUUCAUCUCUCCUAUGUUUUUGAUAGCGUGUUGGUGCCAUUAUUAUGGAGGUGAAACUACCUAAGAGGGCUAUGAGUUGUAGAGUUGGCAAAAGAAAGCCAUGAAUAUAGAGUACGCAUUGAGAAAUGGUGUGCUUGCACCAUGUCCCAUGUUCGUUCGUACAAAGGAGCACAUAGUGCCAUAAAAUCUUGUAUGGAGAACUUCAAAUGGACCUAACUUUGAAACCACAAAUCAGAUGAAGUUUCCUUGGUAUGUUGAUAUGGCCAAUUAUUUGGCAAGUGGUACUGUUCCUCAUGGUUAUUCAUCACAACAGAAGAAGAUAUUCUUUUAUGAGAUGAAGAAGUACUUUUGGGACGAACCUUUUCUUUACAAGGGAUGUGCGGAUGACGUCAUUAGAAGGUGCAUUCCAGAACCUGAGGUAUUUUACAAGUUCAAUUUGCUAAAGGAAGACAACAAGACUAAAAGAAAGAAGAGAAGAAAAGAAAAGAAGAAAAAAAAUAUAAUAAAAGUGAGCCCAAAGCUCACGUGACUUUUGUAAAAGAAAGAAGACAAAGGGGCAAACUCACCCCUUGACUCCUCCUUCCUCAACUGGUUAUACACAGCAAACAAAAGAAUAAGGAAAGUUGUUUUCACUUUCCGAAUUCCACACAAACACCAAAGAGGAGAUAUGAUUUUAAUCCCCUCAAGAUUUCCAAGAUACAGAUUGGUUAUCAGAUUUUCAGUUACGAAAAUCUAUCUUGUUUUUUCUAUCUUCUACACAACUCGAUAUAAAUUCACCAGUUCUCGUAGAUGAAAAAUACGCACACAUACAAGAGAGUUCGGAGAGUGAAGAAAAUAAUCGGGUUCGCCCAAGAUCGACAAGUUGAUAGGAAUUGAAGAAUUAUUGCGUUCGGAGGCGAAUUGAGGGUAGCGGCUACAUCAAUUCGGGUCUACAAUCAUGAGUUUUCUCUCUCUUCUAUUUUCAAUUAAUUGUUCUUGUGAUUGAACUGGAUUUUAUCUGAAUUUAUUCAUAUUUUCAGUUUCUUAUAUUUCUAUUAUUUGAGUCUAAUUGGUUAACGCUGAGUUGAUUGAUUUUAAUUAUUUAAUUUAGUAUUUAUACAAUUCAUACUAUUGUUGGUUGGUUAUGAAAUUUGAUAUCUUUACUUGUAA